AAAAGAAAACGACAGGCCAAGAUGAUGAAAGCUGGGGGCACAUUUUAAAAUAGCAAAAAUAUUUACAGAAAAUAGCUGAUGCCUAUUUAAUGCUAAUGACUGGCAAGGUAUAACUUGCAGUAAUGUGAAUUGGACCAGAAGAUCAGAGUGUAACAUGUAAUACUCCAAAGUAUGAUAAAUUAGAAGAAAGAACAGAUAUGUUGGUGGCUUUAAUAAAAGAUAAUGUUGGCUGGGUGCGGUGGCUCACGCCUGUAACCCCAGCACUUUGGGAGGCCGAGGCAGGCAGAUCACGAGGUCAAGAGGUCGAGACCAUCCUGGCCAACAUGUUGAAACCCCGUCUCUACUAAAAAUACAAAAAUUAAUCGAGCGUGGUGGCGUACACCUGUAGUCCCAGCUACUCAGGAGGCUGAGGCAGGAGAAUCGCUUGAACCCAGGAAACGAAGGUUGCAGUGAGCCAAGAUUGCGCCACUGCACUCCAGCCUGGGUGACGAGAGCAAAACUCUGUCUCAAAAAAAAAAAAAAAAAAAGAUAAUGUUGAAUAUAUAGAAUGAGAAGAAUCCGAAGGUAAAUAUGAUGAGUUUGGAUAUAAAAAGAAAAAAUGCAGAGGGAAGCCUGUUGGUCCUGCAUCUAUAUGAAAGGAGGUUGAAGUAAAGAAUCAGAGGGAGAAGAAGAGGAUGAGGAUGAAGAUCUUUCUAAAUAUAAAUUAGAUGAAGAUGAGGAUGAAGAUGAUGCUGAUCUCUCAAAAUAUAAUAUUGACGUCAGUGAAGAAGGCGAUAGUAAUAAAAAGAAAUCUAAUAGAAAAAGUCACUCAAUAUCUCAAUCUUCACAUUCACUAUCUUCAUCAUGUUCAUUCUCCCUUUCAAAUUCAAGGUCUAGGUCCAGGUUCCCUUCAAGAAGUUCUAGUUCACAGUCAAGAUCUUGUUUCAGUUCCAGAGAACAUUUAAGAUCCUCUGGGUUGAAAUCAAGAUCCAGUUCCAGGUCCCACAGGGGCUCACUAAACAACCCUGAGCCCAGGGCCAACCCUUACAGAACACAUUACUUUACCCAAGCACCACAGGUCAUCUUCUGGAUCAUUCCAUUCUGGUUCCCAUUCAAGUUCAAAAAAGAAAU
rnacentral:lncRNA from 10 species